AAGUCGUAACAAGGUUUCCGUAGGUGAACCUGCGGAAGGAUCAUUACCGAUUUUAGCGGACCUGAUCUUUGAUCAUGGUCUCGCGAAAACUUGUAUUUAAAACCCCACUCUUAUAAAUUGAAUCAUUUUUAUAUGUAUAUAAUAAAUAAAGAUCACUUUCAACAACGGAUCUCUUGGCUCUC
rnacentral:misc_RNA from 1 species